rnacentral:rRNA from 1 species
UACAGAGGGGGCAAGCGUUGUUCGGAAUUACUGGGCGUAAAGCGCGUGUAGGCGGACCGUUAUGUCAGGCGUGAAAGCCCUGGGCUCAACCCAGGAACUGCACCUGAAACUGGCGGUCUUGAGUGGUGGAGAGGGAAGUGGAAUUCCUGGUGUAGAGGUGAAAUUCGUAGAUAUCAGGAGGAACACCAGUGGCGAAGGCGGCUUCCUGGACACCAACUGACGCUGAGACGCGAAAGCGUGGGGAGCAAACAGG